rnacentral:lncRNA from 1 species
AAUUCACAAGUCCCAAUCCUUUUCCCUUUUUGUGCAAUCAAAAUUAGGAUCACCUAAUCAACAAAAUAAUAUAAUCAAACACACAAAUCAACACCAAGAUUUUUACGUAGAAAACUCAAUGCGGGAAAAACCACGGGACCGUAAUCCACCUAAAAACUUCCACUAUCAACAAUUAAUGGGUUCACAAGUGUUCUUUCUUAGACAUAACUAAGGGCUACAACA